GACGAACGCUGGCGGCGUGCUUAACACAUGCAAGUCGAACGGAAAGGCCCUGCUUUUGUGGGGUGCUCGAGUGGCGAACGGGUGAGUAACACGUGAGUAACCUGCCCUUGACUUUGGGAUAACUUCAGGAAACUGGGGCUAAUACCGGAUAGGAGCUCCUGCUGCAUGGUGGGGGUUGGAAAGUUUCGGCGGUUGGGGAUGGACUCGCGGCUUAUCAGCUUGUUUGUGGGGUAGUGGCUUACCAAGGCUUUGACGGGUAGCCGGCCUGAGAGGGUGACCGGCCACAUUGGGACUGAGGUACGGCCCCGACUCCUUCGGGAGGCAGCAGUGGGGAAUAUUGCACAAUGGGCGGAAGCCUGAUGCAGCAACGCCGCGUGCGGGAUGACGGCCUUCGGGUUGUAAACCGCUUUCGCCUGUGACGAAGCGUGAGUGACGGUAAUGGGUAAAGAAGCACCGGCUAACUACGUG
rnacentral:rRNA from 1 species